rnacentral:tRNA from 1 species
GGCCUCGGAGCCCAGUUGGUUAGAGCGUUGGCUGUACUAAAGCCUUGUUGACGUGGGCUCGAAUCCCACCCAGGCCG